rnacentral:rRNA from 1 species
GCCUACGGGAGGCAGCAGUGGGGGAUAUUGCACAAUGGGGGGAACCCUGAUGCAGCGACGCCGCGUGAAGGAAGAAGUAUCUUGGUAUGUAAACUUCUAUCAGCAGGGAAGAAAAUGACGGUACCUGACUAAGAAGCCCCGGCUAACUACGUGCCAGCAGCCGCGGUAAUACGUAGGGGGCAAGCGUUAUCCGGAUUUACUGGGUGUAAAGGGAGCGUAGACGGCAGCGCAAGUCUGGAGUGAAAUGCCGGGGCCCAACCCCGGGACUGCAUUUGGAACUGUAAGGCUAGAGUGUCGGAGCGGCG